rnacentral:rRNA from 1 species
UACAGAGGAUGCAAGCGUUAUCCGGAAUGAUUGGGCGUAAAGCGUCUGUAGGUGGCUUUUUAAGUCCGCCGUCAAAUCCCAGGGCUCAACUCUGGACAGGCGGUGGAAACUACCAAGCUGGAGUACGGUAGGGGCAGGAGGGAAUUUCCGGGUGGAGCGGUGGAAAUGACGUAGAGAUCGGAAAGAACACCAACGGCGAAAGCACUCUGCUGGGCCGACACUGACGCUGUGGCGCGAAAGCUAGGGGAGCGAACGGG